UUUAAUUUGAGAGUUUGAUCCUGGCUCAGGAUGAACGCUGGCGGCGUGCCUAACACAUGCAAGUCGAACGAAGCAAUCGGGAUGAAGUUUUCGGAUGGAUUCCUGGUUGACUGAGUGGCGGACGGGUGAGUAACGCGUGGAUAAC
rnacentral:rRNA from 1 species